rnacentral:lncRNA from 1 species
UUCUAACAUUGCAUUCCUCCACCAUCAUCACCAAAGAUAAAUCUAACCAAGUAGUGCAAAGAUUGACAUAAUCUCCUCUUAUAUAAUCAAUUACCUUGAAGAUUAUUUACAAAGUAAAUACAUCAAUAAUGUAGAACAAAUCUAUACAAAUUUUGCAAGAUUAAUAUGUGAUACAAAUAUUGAAUACUUCAUUUAAACGAACCAAAUUCUAGAUUAGAUUAACAUAUACUACUUCUUACUACAAAUAGUUACUUAAGAAUUUCAAAACUACUUUAUCAAUCUUUUGUUAUAUCCAUAUAUUGCUCAAAAUCACCAAAAAUGAAAUUAAAUUAAAUUAAAAAAAUAAAAAUAAAAAAUUCCACCAACUUCCAAAAUAACCAUCAAGUUCUAAAAACUAUCAUUGUUAAAAUACUAAAAUACUAAAACAAAGGAUAAUAAGAUCAUCAAGUUCUAAAAACUAUCCUUGUUAAAAUACUAAAAUACUAAAAUACUAAAACAAAGGAUAAUAAGAUCAUCAAGUUCUAAAAACUAUCAUUGUUAAACUAUCAUUUUUGUUUUAAAACAAAGGAUAAUAAGAUCACCAUCAAGUACAUCCUGCACUUAAGCACAUGUUGAGGUUGGAAGUGAUUCACAUCCAACAUGUCCCCUACUGUGAGAAUGAAUAGCAUCUGCACAUAGACAAUAUUGUCAAAGUUUACAAGCUCACUUCAAACCUUCGACUCUAAACCACAUAAAAGCCUCAUCCCCCAAUCUCCAAGAAAAAUAGCACUUACAUCAACCAUUAAUCAAUCACUAACACCCUUGGAGGAGUACUAAUUCAGAAGUAUUCCAGAUAAUGCAGGAGGUAGUCUAUCUGAUUGUAACCCUUCAAACCGUACUUAACGACGAUUAGAAAACCAAAACUGGUCACAACCUAUCCACUGGAGCAAACUUCAUCGCCACUGCACUGCGUGUGCAAAUCACACAGUUCUGCGAAUAACACAACAGCCUACAUCCUCUCGAACAUGUCAACGUGCAAUUCCUUACAACCAAAUCUUAUAAUCGAACCUUCGAAACGUGUACACACGAUAUACAACAGUGAUCGUAGUCGGUGACACACUUCUCCACCUAGCCCACGACGUCAACACUGGCCUCCAGCAAAGUUAAUCAUCGCCAACACAAAGAUUAAAAAAAGAAAAAAAAAAGAGGUGAAACUCCAAAGGACCGAUACAGGUAGAAACCGAAAGCUGAGGACCGGGAGAAACACCGAGCACAGAGCUGAGUGAACCCUCCCCAUUCACCCAAGUAUGUGAACUUGCAAAUCAGGCCUAGGUGCAAAUCCUUACCGACACAUGCACUCAACCAAAGCAACUGUUCAUCCAAACCCCCCAAGCAAACUUACUUGUCGUUUCAAACUGCGCACCACGUCGGCCUUAACUAUUUUAUCCUCAACCACUUGUCCUCGCACAGUAAUCCACUCACGGUUCAAUCCGUUCAGCAACGGUGGUAGUACUCAUUUGUGGAGUGUGCAAGAGAACUUUGCAUCUAAGUCCAACAAGGGAUCCUUGUGCACAGCGGGAUAGGCUAAUACAUAUGAAGAUGAUAGAAAGAGGUCUGUCAGAGCCACUUAAACCUCGCGAAUCAGGCGAUGACGACAACGAGACGACGCAAGAAAAGUUCGCCAAAUGGUGGACAUGGACGAGACCCUUGAUUAUGAGGAUGAGGAAGAUGAGUAUGACAGAGUAGCAGCUGGAACAAUAAUGGGUACGAACGAUGGAUUGUUCAUGAAUCGGAUUGGGAGUUGCAGUGCCGGUUGGCAGCAGUCAAAUCCUCUGUCAACUUCUUUCGCUGACUGGCGCCAGCCAUAUCUUCGGUACUGCAGUACUAAUGAUGAAGCUAUCCUUGCACGACUCCAGGAUGAUCGUGAAGCUACUAUAAGAGCUACGAACAAAGUAUUAGAAUUAGGUGAAUUAGGUCCUGGAGGAGGAUUCUAACGUGGUUGCAUAGCUGCCAGUCAGACAGGACAAUGAAGGAGAAGCCAUGGACAUCGACGCGAAUGAACACCAUGACCAGGCUCCGGCAGAAGUCACAGCAGAAGCUGGGUCUGAAGUAUCUGGUAGCUCAGAGACCACUGAAGGUAAUGAUGGUGAACGGAAAUGAAGAGCAGGAGAAUCUGUAAGAUAUGCAACGGAAGAAACUGUGGGAGCAGAGUCCAAAGCGGGAGGAUCUGAUGUUCAGGAACCUCU